rnacentral:rRNA from 1 species
AGUCAAGUAAUUAAGUGCAUGUGGUGGAUGCCUUGGCAGUCAGAGGCGAUGAAAGACGUGAUAGCCUGCGAAAAGCUCCGGGGAGGCGGCAAAUAUCCUUUGAUCCGGAGAUGUCUGAAUGGGGGAACCCACCUACUUUAAGGUAGGUAUUGCAACAUGAAUACAUAGUGUUGCAAGGCGAACGAGGGGAAGUGAAACAUCUCAGUACCCUUAGGAAAAGAAAUCAAUUGAGAUUCCCUCAGUAGCGGCGAGCGAACGGGGAUCAGCCCAUUAAGUUAUGUGUGUUUUAGUGGAACGCUCUGGGAAGUGCGAACGUAGAGGGUGAUAUUCCCGUACACGAAAGGGCACACAUAAUGAUGACGAGUAGGGCGAGGCACGUGAAACCUUGUCUGAAUAUGGGGGGACCAUCCUCCAAGGCUAAAUACUCCUGACUGACCGAUAGUGAACCAGUACCGUGAGGGAAAGGCGAAAAGAACCCCUGUGAGGGGAGUGAAAUAGAUCCUGAAACCGCAUGCAUACAAGCAGUGGGAGCACCUUCGUGGUGUGACUGCGUACCUUUUGUAUAAUGGGUCAGCGACUUAUAUUCAGUAGCGAGGUUAACCGUAUAGGGGAGCCGUAGAGAAAUCGAGUCUUAAUAGGGCGUUUAGUUGCUGGGUAUAGACCCGAAACCAGGCGAUCUAUCCAUGAGCAGGUUGAAGGUUGGGUAACACUAACUGGAGGACCGAACCCACUGUCGUUGAAAAGCCAGGGGAUGACUUGUGGAUAGGGGUGAAAGGCUAAUCAAGCCUGGUGAUAGCUGGUUCUCCCCGAAAGCUAUUUAGGUAGCGCCUCGGACGAAUACCAUAGGGGGUAGAGCACUGUUUCGGCUAGGGGGUCAUCCCGACUUACCAAACCGAUGCAAACUCCGAAUACCUAUGAGUACUAUCCGGGAGACAGACUGCGGGUGCUAACGUCCGUAGUCAAGAGGAAAACAAUCCAGACCGCCAGCUAAGGCCCCAAAAUCAUAGUUAAGUGGGAAACGAUGUGGGAAGGCAUAGACAGCUAGGAGGUUGGCUUAGAAGCAGCCACCCUUUAAAGAAAGCGUAAUAGCUCACUAGUCGAGUCGGCCUGCGCGGAAGAUGUAACGGGGCUAAAACUAUGUGCCGAAGCUGCGGAUGUAUACUUUGUAUACGUGGUAGGGGAGCGUUCUGUAAGCCGAUGAAGGUGUGUUGAGAAGCAUGCUGGAGGUAUCAGAAGUGCGAAUGCUGACGUGAGUAACGACAAAACGGGUGAAAAACCCGUUCGCCGAAAGACCAAGGGUUCCAGUCCAACGUUAAUCGGGGCUGGGUGAGUCGACCCCUAAGGCGAGGCCGAAAGGCGUAGUCGAUGGGAAAAUGGUUAAUAUUCCAUUACUUCUGUGUAAUGCGAUGAGAGGACGGAGAAGGCUAAAUCAGCCUGGCGUUGGUUGUCCAGGUGAAAGGAUGUAGGCAUGUAUCUUAGGCAAAUCCGGGGUACUCUAUGCUGAGAUCUGAUAGCAAGCUGUACUUGUACAGCGAAGUGGUUGAUGCCAUGCUUCCAGGAAAAGUCUCUAAGCUUCAGUUACACAGGAAUCGUACCCGAAACCGACACAGGUGGUCAGGUCGAGUAGACCAAGGUGCUUGAGAGAACUCUGCUGAAGGAACUAGGCAAAAUGGUACCGUAACUUCGGGAGAAGGUACGCUGUUGUUGGUGAUGGAACUCGCUUCCUGAGCUGACGACAGCCGCAGAAACCAGGCCGCUGCAACUGUUUAUUAAAAACAUAGCACUCUGCAAACACGAAAGUGGACGUAUAGGGUGUGAUGCCUGCCCGGUGCUGGAAGGUUAAUUGAUGGGGUUAGCGUAAGCGAAGCUCUUGAUCGAAGCCCCAGUAAACGGCGGCCGUAACUAUAACGGUCCUAAGGUAGCGAAAUUCCUUGUCGGGUAAGUUCCGACCUGCACGAAUGGCAUAAUGAUGGCGGCGCUGUCUCCAGCAGAGGCUCAGUGAAAUCGAAAUCGCUGUGAAGAUGCAGUGUACCCGCGGCUAGACGGAAAGACCCCGUGAACCUUUACUGCAGCUUGACACUGAACUUUGACCUUACUUGUGUAGGAUAGGUGGGAGGCUUUGAAGCUGGAACGCUAGUUCCAGUGGAGCCGUCCUUGAAAUACCACCCUGGUAAUGUUGAGGUUCUAACUCUGUCCCGUGAUCCGGGACGAGGACCGUGUCUGGUGGGUAGUUUGACUGGGGCGGUCUCCUCCUAAAGAGUAACGGAGGAGUACGAAGGUGCGCUCAGCGUGGUCGGAAAUCACGCGUAGAGUAUAAAGGCAAAAGCGCGCUUAACUGCGAGACCCACAAGUCGAGCAGGUACGAAAGUAGGUCUUAGUGAUCCGGUGGUUCUGUAUGGAAGGGCCAUCGCUCAACGGAUAAAAGGUACUCUGGGGAUAACAGGCUGAUACCGCCCAAGAGUUCAUAUCGACGGCGGUGUUUGGCACCUCGAUGUCGGCUCAUCUCAUCCUGGGGCUGAAGCAGGUCCCAAGGGUAUGGCUGUUCGCCAUUUAAAGAGGUACGCGAGCUGGGUUUAGAACGUCGUGAGACAGUUCGGUCCCUAUCUACCGUGGGCGCUGGAAAUUUGAGAGGAUCUGCUCCUAGUACGAGAGGACCAGAGUGGACGAACCUCUGGUGUACCGGUUGUGACGCCAGUCGCAUCGCCGGGUAGCUAUGUUCGGAAGGGAUAACCGCUGAAAGCAUCUAAGCGGGAAGCCUACCUCAAGAUAAGAUUUCCCUAGGACUUUAUGUCCUCUAAAGAGCCGUUCGAGACUAGGACGUUGAUAGGUUGGAUGUGGAAGCAUAGUGAUAUGUGAAGCUGACCAAUACUAAUUGCUCGUGAGGCUUGACUAUACAACACCC